UACGUAGGGUGCGAGCGUUAAUCGGAAUUACUGGGCGUAAAGCGUGCGCAGGCGGUUCGUUGUGUCGGCGGUGAAAGCCCCGGGCUUAACCUGGGAAUGGCCGUUGAAACUGGCGAACUGGAGUGUGGCAGAGGGGGGUGGAAUUCCGCGUGUAGCAGUGAAAUGCGUAGAGAUGCGGAGGAACACCGAUGGCGAAGGCAGCCCCCUGGGCUGACACUGACGCUCAGGCGCGAAAGCGUGGGGAGCAAACAGG
rnacentral:rRNA from 1 species